rnacentral:rRNA from 1 species
GACGAACGCUGGCGGCGUGCUUAACACAUGCAAGUCGAACGGAAAGGCCCUGCUUUUGUGGGGUGCUCGAGUGGCGAACGGGUGAGUAACACGUGAGUAACCUGCCCUUGACUUUGGGAUAACUUCAGGAAACUGGGGCUAAUACCGGAUAGGAGCUCCUGCUGCAUGGGGGGGGUUGGACAGUCUCGGCGGUGGGGGAUGGACUCGCGGCUUAUCAGCUUGUUGGUGGGGUAGUGGCUUACCAAGCCUUUGACGGGUAGCCGGCCUGAGAGGGUGACCGGCAACAUUGGGACUGAGAUACGGCCCAGAAUACUACGGGAGGCAGCAGUGGGGAAUAUUGCACAAUGGGCGGAAGCCUGAUGCAGCAACGCCGCGUGCGGGAUGACGGGCUUCGGGUUGUAAAGCGCUUUCGCUUGCGACGAAGCGUGAGUGACGGUAAUGGGUAAAGAAGCACCGGCUAACUACGUG